AUUGAACGCUGGCGGCAUGCCUAACACAUGCAAGUCGAGCGGAUGAAGGGAGCCUGCUCCUGGAUUCAGCGGCGGACGGGUGAGUAAUGCCUAGGAAUCUGCCUGGUAGUAGGUGAUAACGUCCGGAAACGGGCGCUAAUACCGCAUACGUCCUGAGGGAGAAAGUGGGGGAUCUUCGGACCUCACGCUAUCAGAUGAGCCUAGGUCGGAUUAGCUAGUUGGUGGGGUAAAGGCCUACCAAGGCGACGAUCCGUAACUGGUCUGAGAGGAUGAUCAGUCACCCUGGAACUGAGACACGGUCAAGACUCCUACGGGAGGACGCGGUGGGGAAUAUUGGACAAUGGGCGAAAGCCUGAUCCAGCCAUGCCGCGUGUGUGAAGAAGGUCUUCGGAUUGUAAAGAACUUUAAGUUGGGAGGAAGGGCAGUAAGUUAAUACCUUGCUGUUUUGACGUUACCAACAGAAUAAGCACCGGCUAACUUCGUG
rnacentral:rRNA from 1 species